AUUGCAACAGAGCGCACUCUGGUGUACAAAGCUGGGAGCCAGGAUGGGAGGAGAUUGCGAGAAGCAGUGCUUUGCCCAAGUUUGAAGUUGAUUUGUACAGCUCUAAGAAGUUAUUGUAAGUUACUAGGGUUGGAGCAGAAAUAUCAUUGAGAAGAGACUCUGGAAACUUCUGUUCAGUUUCUAAAGGAAAGAUAUACAUUUUGUUGCAAACACCUAACUUUCUGCAAAUAUUUAUUAUGGAUGGGAUAUUGUGUUUAACAGGCUAUUCCAUCACAACAAACAAGCUUCACUUGAAAAAAAAUCGAAGCAGGUUUUAACUGAAAGAUUCUCUCUUUUUACUUUGCAUAUCUUGGCUUUCCCUUGAUAUUAAAUAUAAGAAAUAAU
rnacentral:lncRNA from 1 species